CCUACGGGGGGCAGCAGUGGGGAAUAUUGCGCAAUGGGCGAAAGCCUGACGCAGCGACGCCGCGUGAGGGAUGAAGGUCUUCGGAUCGUAAACCUCUGUCAGCAGGGAAGAACGGUCACUGUGCUAAUCAGCAGUGAAUUGACGGUACCUGCAAAGGAAGCACCGGCUAACUCCGUGCCAGCAGCCGCGGUAAUACGGAGGGUGCGAGCGUUAAUCGGAAUUACUGGGCGUAAAGCGCUCGUAGGCGGUAUGUCAAGUCAAGGGUGAAAUCCCCGCGCUCAACGUGGGAACUGCCUUUGAAACUGGCAGACUGGAGUGUGUGAGAGGAAAGUGGAAUUCCAGGUGUAGGAGUGAAAUCCGUAGAUAUCUGGAGGAACAUCAGUGGCGAAGGCGACUAUCUGGCACAUAACUGACGCUGAGGAGCGAAAGCGUGGGUAGCAAACAGGAUUAGAUACCCUAGUAGUC
rnacentral:rRNA from 1 species